rnacentral:rRNA from 1 species
UACGAAGGUGGCAAGCGUUGUUCGGAUUUACUGGGCGUAAAGGGCGCGUAGGUGGUGGGGUAAGCCCCACGGGAAAGCUCCAGGCUUAACCUGGAAAGGUCGCGGGGGACUGCUCCGCUCGAGGACGGGAGAGGAGCGCGGAAUUCCCGGUGUAGCGGUGAAAUGCGUAGAGAUCGGGAGGAAGGCCGGUGGCGAAGGCGGCGCUCUGGAACGGCCCUGACACUGAGGCUCGAAAGCGUGGGGAGCAAACAGG